CUGCUCGCUCCCGCGCGCGGGCUAAUACACAAUAUCUGGCGCCGCUCCUCCUCGGCUUCGGCUGCCCCUCGCGCACUCGCUUCCCGUGGGCCGCGCGGGUGAAGGAGCGUACGUGCGGGUGGUUGAUUUGUGGCUAGCUGGUGCGCGCGGGAUGGCGUCGCUCGCCGUGUCCGGCGCGAGGCUCGGGGUGGUCGUGCGGGCCGGCGGCUCGGCGGGAUCGGGCGGGGAGCGCAGGAGUGGGGUGGCCUUGCCGUCGGUGCUCUUCAGGAGGAAGGACGCCUUCUCUCGUGUCGUUCUGGGCUGUGAUGGUGCUCCUGGAAAAGAGCUGCUGAUGGCCGGAUGUGGCAGUGAUCACUUGCUUUCAUCCACAGAGCCUGUCGUGGAUGCUCUGCAGCGGUCUGAAGGAUUACAGCCAAACAACAGAAUUCAGGAAAGAUGAUUCUAAUUCUCAAUUUGGUGCUCCAAUAUCUACAUCUGCUGGAGACCAAAAAGAGCAGCACGGAUAGUCCGCGGUGAUGGCGCGGACGGUCCGCGCGUGCGCAGAGUCAGUUAGGGUUCCUAGUUUCUCGCGGGAUUUGUUACCUAAAACCGCGGGAUUAACUCGGAAAUCA